AUCCAGCUGACGAGUCUCAAAUAGGAGGAAACGCGCUUGCUGGGU
rnacentral:hammerhead_ribozyme from 1 species